rnacentral:rRNA from 1 species
AUUGAACGCUGGCGGCAUGCCUUACACAUGCAAGUCGAACGGUAACGCGGGGCAACCUGGCGACGGGUGGCGAACGGGUGAGUAAAGCAUCGGAACGUGCCCAGUAGUGGGGGAUAGCCCGGCGAAAGCCGGAUUAAUACCGCAUACGACCUACGGGUGAAAGGGGGGGAUCGCAAGACCUCUCGCUAUUGGAGCGGCCGAUGUCGGAUUAGGUAGUUGGUGGGGUAAAGGCCUACCAAGCCUGCGAUCUGUAGCUGGUCUGAGAGGACGACCAGCCACACUGGGACUGAGACACGGCCCAGACUCCUACGGGAGGCAGCAGUGGGGAAUUUUGGACAAUGGGCGCAAGCCUGUUCCAGCCAUGCCGCGUGCGGGAAGGAGGCCUUCGGGUUGUAAACCGCUUUUGUCAGGGAAGAAAAGCCUUGGGUUAAUACCCUGGGGUGAUGACGGUACCUGAAGAAUAAGCACCGGCUAACUACGUGCCAGCCGCCGCCGUAA